UGUACUGAAUAAACCAUGUCUGUUCUUUCAUUUAGAAAUCUUCUGAAAGGACAGGCAAAUAAUUGUAACACAAAAGUUCUGAAAGUGAGAAACACAAGUCGAUGAUGUUCAGAUUUUUACAACUUGUAAGUUAUUUAAAAAAAACAUCAGAUCAAACACACAGUUACAUCAUUUCCCUUUCUACCAGCACAAGAGUCUUCCAUAUUCUCAGCAAAUGUAAUACAGUAAGGGAGAAACGUAAGAAAUUUAAAAAAUGAAUGAGAACUAUGGGGAGAGGGAAGUUAGAAAGACAUGGCCUUGAAUAAUGAGGCAAUGCAGAGAAGGUUAAUAUUCUAUGAAAUUACUUACCUUUAUCUGCAAAGGUAAACUGUAGUCUGAAGUUUACUGGUUUUCAGUCUGGGAAUAACUUCUUUAUAUUUCCUCAACUUAGAGGAAACAGUGGUACUUGCAGCAAUGCUAAAAAAGUAGGCUUAGUGAGUGGGUUUAAUUUUAAGUAUCAGGGAGGAAACAAGUCACCAAGCAGGCCUUAGACUGGAAAUGGGAAUUUUAAUCUUUCAUUUUUCCUGCUGUAGCUCACAGAAAACAGUGCAGACUGGCUACAGAAGAAUCAUGCCAAAGAACAUACGAGGGCUCAUUUUAUGAGAUCAGUUUUGGAGUUGCAAUUCUAAGCUGGUAGAAGGUUUGCAAAGUACUUGAAAAACUUGACCCUUCUCCAGACUCCCCCGCAUGAGUCACCCAACCCUCCUUCAGUCAUUAGACUGCACUUCCUGCUGGGAUCCAGCAAUAAAACAAACGAGAGACACUGGUUCUGGUCAUGGUGAGGGAAAUUCUCCUGGUAUUUUAGUUCCAAACUUGCCUACUAUUACAGUAACUGUGCUAAGAGAACUGCUGUCUCCAUAAACUCCUUGGGUUCAUUCCACAGUGUACACAGGAGACACAACCCCUUUAAACUUCAAGGAGAUCCCAUUGCAGUGUAGAAGAGAAAAAUUCAGAGAUUAUGGAAUAAUCAUCUCCAAAUCGAUCAAUUUCCCCCUGAAGGUAAAAAACUGAAAGAAAGAAAAAAGUUGAACAGUUCCAGCUUGCCUUCUUGAAGGGAAAGUACCCCCAGGGCAUGUUGUAGAAUGAUCCCCAUCUCUUUCUCCUGAUGCUUAUUAAGAGGUCAUAGAUCUCAGUUACACUACAGCAUUCCCAAAUGAUAUCUCUAGCUAAGGACUAUGACCUCUUAGUACAAGUACAGGGAUAUAAAAUUAGGAAUAUUAAGGGUUCAUACUAAGAAAAAGUCUGCCUCAACUACCAGUCAUUUUGGAAAAACAGUUGGAAUUAAUGGCAUAUCUCAUGUCUUGUAAAAAACAGAGGAGUUCUAGCAAAAGGCACUGCAGGUUUCAGUGUUUCACAUAGGUGCAGCGCCUUGUGUCAGGGCUAAAUUUCUAUUUCAACAUCAAAGUGGAUUUCCACAACAGAAUAUUCAAUACAAAAGGUGUUUUUCUCAAAAAGCACAAGGUAUGGCUCAGAACACGCUGGGUGAAUUAAGAUGUGCUUUCUCUUUGUCUUAACGCUAUUCCCUCUAACAGCCAGAGUAUGCAAGCAGAAGUGAUUACUCAGGUCAUUACACCAAGACCAGGCAGGGCCUGGAAUGUCUUAAAGGACCUUUCCACUGCAACAAUUCAUUUUCUGACAUGGGGGAUUUUGUUUUGUUUUCAUAAAAAGCUGGUUUAUUACACCAUCUAGAUGAUGCCUGAGAGGAUAAACUGAGUCCAUAUAGGUGGUAUGUUAGUGAACUACCACACCACCUGGAAACCUUAACACUCUACAGCUGAUUGUAUAAACAUAAAUUAAGGUUCUUCUGCAACUGUAUUAAGCAAAGUGUUACAGAGCUGUGGGGCAUUUUGUUACAUUUGGCUUUCAAGCUAUGAAUUUAACUGCUGAACAUAUAAGUAAUGAUAAUCUGUUGUACCUCCCAUUCUGUUCAUUUCUGAAUGGUAAUUAAAGCAAGCACCAAUAAUAAAACCAGCAAGUAUUUCAAGAAAAUUAUUUUAGAAGGUGCAGGAAAUUCACCACUUAAAAAGACUAGUUUGUAAUGGCAACAAGAGCCAUUUUGUAAUACACCUACAAUAUGAUAUAAAUAUUCCAGUAAAAUAGAAGCAUGGAAUAAACAACAGGUAUUUUACUCUGCAGUAGCCGAUUCUCUAAAACGCUGUACUGAAUACAUACCAUAGGUGUGUACAUGUUUAUACAUGCAAGACAAUCAUUACUUUAUUUUUAAUGGUGUGCCUCCUCUUCGAAUCAUACACAUGAAUUCCCACUGUACUGGGUAAAGGUCAGGGUAGCUCUGACCCUGUAUCAGCAGCAGCUUUACAAUUCAAAGUCUAUAUUACUGAAGACUGUGAAAAGCAAGACAAGCUUGGCCACAGGAUCCAUAUGGACUACAAGAGUAAUUGGAAGCAGCAUAGUUAUCAUAGGGUAAGUAAUGACUAGUUUUCCUUCUUCACAUAUGUGCCAGUGCUGAUGAUUCCCCCUGCCCCCUCCUUUCUCUCCCCUGCAGGCAACCAUCUUCCUUGGACAAUAAGAAUUCUGAAUUUCAGCUGCAUAGAUCAAAUAGUGAUUAUAGUACUGCUCUCCCAAUACUGGAAUGAGCUCUGGCAGUUCCAUCCUCCACAGAAUGCCUGAUAAAGGUCAGUGGAUUACCUCAUGUCAUCACCUGGCAGAUAUCAGAAAUUGGAACCUCUUCUGAAACAGGAGGGAGAUGUCACUCGAGCAUUGGGAGAGCAAAGUUAAUAUUCAAUGGGAAAGUCGCAGCAGCCAAACGGUAACAGAGAGGUACCCUGUACUGCCCAUUUGGAAUUGCUCUGUGAGGAAACGGCUUGACCUUUAGAACACCCAGCAGUGGCUAUAAAUAAAUGGAACAACAGACUAUCAAUGUAGUAAAGCAAAGUUCUGGAUUUAGCUAGGGCAGAUUUUUAACAGAAUACCAGGGAGGCAUUUGAACUAAGUCUGAAAAAACUAGGGAGCUGUAUGGGUAAGUCAGUGCUUAGAAACAGGGAUGAUGAUGUAGAACUAACUUGACAACCACAAAAUGCCAAAGCCCAAAUGUUAUCAUGGCCCCUCCCAGAGCCUAAUGCUAUUGCACACACCCACAAUGGCAUGUUAGGCAUGCCCAAUUGAUGCUUUCACAGUCCUGUCAAAAAAGCACCAGGUAGACAUGUCCUCUGGUAUAGCUUAGGACUGUGACCAUAAGUCCUACUGCUGCACAUAAUUUGGGUAGAAGAGACUGAAGUAAAGCAUACUGUUUACAUAAACCUCUGAGGUACUCAGAUUCUGGGUGACAGGCACAAGGGGUCUUUUAAACCUGCAAAACAGUGUGCUGUCCUCACUAUUAAUUCCUCAUCUACACUGAAAGAGUGUUCACUUUAGAAGCUUUGAGCAGAAGUGAUUAAAAGCAUGGUUCGUAUGUGUGAUGCCCGAGUCCUGGGAUGAUUUGAUUCAUGUUCCAGACAGGAAUAUAUAGCUCGCUUGUAUAACACUACUUUGGCCAAACUCUGCUGCCAUACACCACUUGCCCAGUAAGGCAUGGAUUGCUGCAAAAUGCGUCCUAAGAGCCACAGACAUGAUGCUAGACUAUUUAAAUGUAGAAGACAGUUGAAAGGCAGUUACACCAAUAACUACACCUGGUAACAGCUGCAUUGGGUCUGCCUACACAAAACCCAUUUGCCAACUAUAGUCUCCAGUUGAGUGGUUUCUGCGGCAGACCAGCACUUCCUGGGCCAAGAAGGAGGUGUCUCUGUCCAUGGUACUCAGUGAGGAAACUGCUUCCUCGUGAGUGGCACUGACACCAGCUUUGAUCCAGUAUCUUCCCAAUCACAUUCGGAGUUCAUGUUCACAUGGUUGUAAAGUCCUUGGUAGACAUAUACAGUAAAUAAGCCAACCAAACCUAUCCUUGCUAGUAUGUGCUAAAAGAAUCACCUGCCUUUUUUAGUGGUGGAAAAUCAGGCUAAAAAAAAAAAAGGAGGACAAUAGGAAGCAAAAAUUAAACGGGGAGAGGGGAAAAGACAAAUGAAAGAUAUACAGGAAGCACUCAGCCCCUUGGAAAACACCACUUGCUUCCUCUCCCACCUCCAAACAGAACAAAAGUUCUCAAGAGUUCCGGCAUUUACAAUUUAUGCUCAUGAACAGGUUUAUUACAGGGCUUUCCCAAGUCAAGAAUAACAGUUCCAUGAUACAACCAUCAGCUGCUUUCACUUGCAAAAGGUUACUGACAGACAACUCAGGAAGUGCAACAGGCUGCUUUUAAAACACUCAAGAGGAGAAGAUCUACUGGUUUUAUGACUGAUUAACAAUCUCAACAGCAGAGACUAAUGGUUUCCAAGCAAAAUGGGGAGGAGUUUAUGCCUCCUUGCCCAUGUUGGCUGUUCAUUAUGGACCUACUGUCUCUCAAGGUAAGCACAGGGUUUCGAAGAACAGCUAUGCAGCCUACUUUCACAGCUUUCAGCUCUAGCAUAUAAAAGUUCCCUCCAUACUUGAGCAGUACCAAGCUAGCUAGUAUUUAUACAGAAUUUUGAUAUGAAAAUCUAAGAACACAAUUAUCAAGACCUUCAUCAUCCUCCCUAGGAGCAUGAAGUUUUGCAUACAAAGUUCUGUAUGGCAGAUUCUCCGAAUUGCUAUGACUUUAGCAGGCCUUGGCCAUUCUGUUAUGCAUGUAAAGGCUUCACACUGCUCUCUGAAUUCAAAUUUAUGAUUUUUGGAGACAAAGGUUGUAGUUACCACCUUGUUCUCCCUUUUCCCCAGGUAUCAAAGAUUUGAAGUUGCAGAUAUGGGUCCUGGACCACAUUAUUCUGCAAGGAUGUAAUUCCAUAACAUGCAAACUCAAAGAAGCAUCACUGAACUACCAUGUGUGUUGGCUGGCACAGGAAACUGGAGGAGAGGGUCUGCUUUCCACUCUAUCAGUCAAAUAGAACAUCAUUUUGUAGAUAAGUCAAAAGUUUGUGGUCCAAAGCAAAUGGAGAAGUAGAAGCAGUAGUACAACUGGGAAGCCCUCUAAGGAAAAAAAGAGACCUAAGCUCAAGUCCCAAGCCCAAGCACUGUUUGUCUUUCAUUCAAUAACUGUUUAAUGUAAAAUCCAUAUGCAGUCCUUGGUGCAGGAAUUCUCAAAAGAAACAGGGUGACUCUCUCAAGUGAAGUAACUGUACUUGGCAAAUAGUGCUUGGCAGUGUGCCACUAACUGCAAUGAGGCAGAUGAAUAUGCUUUUGGUGCAUCACAGAUUUAACUUCUUAGAGUCCUUGUCCUCAGAAGCACUUUCAUCAAGCUCAGAUUUUUCUCUGUACUGCAGAAAUGACCAAGGACUCUUGCCCUGCAUCUUUUCUCCACAUAGGCAGUGGAAACUGAAAAAGCAAUGGCAAGAUCUGCAAUGUAUUUGGGCAGCUCUAGGAUUAUUUUGAUAGCAGGAAGAGCAAUUCUAGCUAGGAUAUCAAAGAAUGACACCAAGUGCUCACAACAUUUAUCUUGUAGUCUCACUGUGCACCGCAUACAUCCUUUGGGACAAAAUCCCCUGGAAAGUUUUCAAGUCUUCCAGUGAAGGAGAUGGUUCUGUCAUUACCAACUCAUUCAGAAAGAUAGAAGAUUCCUGGGCACUAGGAAGAAGAGAAAAGAGGCAAGAGAAGGAAAGCAUUACAGUGGAAUCUCUAUUACCUGCCAUUUGUUUUAGGCCACACAUGCAGCUUAAGACCCUGCAUUGAAUUCAACUCACUAACAACCUCUUUAGUAUUUUUUGCUGGAGAAAGAAGAAAUCCUUAACUCUGGCCAUUCUAUCCAGACCCCUCUCUCAAGGAAGGGUGUAUUUUGUAGUCCUGAGCCUAGUUGAAGCUUUUACACUGGAAGACAUGCACAGGCUCACCACCAUCCCCUAUGCGCAGAGAAGCCACACAGCUUGCUGCACUACCUUGAUUCUGCAGAUGACGAGUGCAGAGUAAGAUAAUGCUAAGUCUAGAACUUUUCCUCUUCCUCUGAGGAAUGGAGCAGCUUUAACAACUGACUUUUUCCCACUUUACUAAAAGCUUCCUUCAAAAGACAGAAAUAAAACAAUGUGUCUUCCCUAAUAAAGCAAACUGGCACUUAACUUUGUUUUUCCUUGGGAACCACAGUACAACAAGUGAAACACUGAAGAAAAAUGGUUGUGUACAUUCCAGCAAAAGGAAUGCAAGUGUUUCACCACUUCUCCCUUUUCUGCUUUGGCCGCCUCAUCUUUUCUUUUAGAUAUUUGAGAGAGCUGAGGCAGAAACAAGUCAUUCUAGAAAACAAACUCACAUAAUAACAGGAGAUUGGGCAAGUACAUUUUAAGAUGUUACGCUCUUUAGCCAAGGGGGUAAGUAACCAGGAGUUGGCUUCUUGUCCACAACACAACAGAGGUGGUAUCUGUGAACUCAGUUUAUUUAAUGUUGCAAUUGAUUAGGAUCAUGCACAAAAGGGAGUGAAAUGGAAAUAUGCUAAUACUAAAUCCAUAUUGCAAUGGGGAAGGGGUGAGGAGAAGCAGUAAGGUGAUCCCACUUGAAAACACUCUUAAAUCCUCUCUCAGCGCCCUAUAGCAAUAUGUGCACAGCCAUUCCUUUAUUUGCCACUGACCACAAAGCACAGGUGUUCUUGCUGCCCACGAGGAAAGUCAGGGCUCAUGUCAUCUUUCUACAUCCUUUGGUCCACACUGCUGCACCCUGCCCUUCAACUGCUCAAAUACAGGCAGACCCGCAAGCAGAAACUGGAAACAACCUAUGUUAGGAAAUCUUCCUCAUGCUAUGUGGCUUGUGAUCAAAACCAAGGAAUUUCUUUGACGGGGUAAAGGGAAGAAUUUAUUUUAAGGAAAUUAUAUUACAGAGGAAACCAGAUUAAUUUUUAAAAAUAAAAAACACAUUCUGAAGGCAAAAAUAUAUUUGCUGUGCAAAAGCCCUGCCUAUACACAAGAGUGCAAUCCUUACAGGACAGAUUGCAUUCACAAGGCUCUUUCAAGAGUGAAAACUUCUACUUGGGCAGCUAAUUCCAAACAGAGAAGUAGUCUGCAAAUGUACACACCAAAAAGAAGUGCUAAUUAAACAAAAGGACUUUACGGCAUUUUAGCCAUUGUCGAAUGAUCUGAAUCUACUGUCUUUCACUGCCACUUUAAUUUCCAAGAUAUUUUGCAAGAUUAAUUAAAGUGUUUGGGAGAUCACGAGGUUAUAAGCAGUUCAGAAAUAAAGACAAUAACUGUCUUAACUGUCACAAACUGACCCCAACAUCAUUAAACACUUGUUGGAAGGCAGCAUGUGCACAUCGCAUACUUACUAUUAGUUGUUCAGCUCAAGCUCCCAGUUUCAUCUCAUAAAACUGACAGCACUCAGGGAAAUGUGAGCACUGGGUUUGAAUUUUAACAUGAGUAUUUAAAUGCUGCACAUAAAGUUUACAGAACUGUUUGUUUUAAAAUAAGGGUAGUGUCUGUCUCUGCUCUAAGUACAGUGAUGAAGAAAAGAAAAAGGAGGGGAGGGAAUUCUCAAGACUUAUUAUUCAGAAACAUAUUUUACAGGAAUUCAGCAAUGCACACACACGUACAUAGGCACACAUGCACUCCUUAGUGCACAAAAGCCUAAAGAAUUGCUUGAUUUAAAGCUUCAUACUUAGAGACCAGUUAUUAAAAUUAGAAUCAUUUUAAGACUAAUAAAUGUUUUGCUUCUCCUUCUGCAUUUGCAGAUAUAAACUCUGCAGGGACAGAAGUCAGUCAAGCUUAUUCCCUUCUGCUGCAACUUUAGAAUACACGCUCUAGCCAACUGGCACAUUUGUUUUUAGGUCAACACUUAAGUGGGACCCUCUGGGACCUAGGUUUGAGUUUAGCCUAUGACAGCUUUUGUGAAAUGAGUUCUGGCAGUCUCAGCCCCUCUUAAUGAAUGUACUUCCACUGUGAUCCACUUCCGUGAAGAGAUGUCACCAUCAAAAUAAAAAUAUAUUUAAAGGGAGAACAUAUCAUUUGAACACUUUGUAAAUGGAUAGCUUUUCCAUCACAAAAACAAGUAUCCUCCAUGAAGAGCUGGUCUAACCUUAAACAGUUACUUAAACUGAGGAUAAGCUGUCUUGUUCGAGCUGCUCUUUUGAAAGAUUAGACUAAAACUUACUUUAUAAAUGCAAUAUGCACUCACCUAUACUUUCUCCUUAACUUCCUGUUCAAAGCUCAUGAUCGCAUACAGGAGCAAAUGUCAUUCAUCUCCCACAUUUCUUUCUUCCUGAUAACUGCAACAAUCACAGCUACAAUUCCCUCAACAAAGACUGUCUUCAUAGUAAGAUUACCUUUCCUAACAUCUGCAAACGCCACUGUCACUUCCAGAGGUUUUCCUGCCCUAUUUCAGAGGCUGUGCACAAACUGAAAUUUGACAAUACAUGUCAGCAACAAUAUAUACAUCAGCUCCGUCUGCAGAGAUCACUGAAAAUUAUCUGGUAUGGAAAGGAGGG